CCUACGGGUGGCUGCAGUGGGGAAUAUUGGACAAUGGGGGCAACCCUGAUCCAGCCAUGCCGCGUGUGUGAAGAAGGCCCUCGGGUUGUAAAGCACUUUCAGUGAGGAAGAACGCCUGGUGGUUAAUACCCAUCAGGAAAGACAUCACUCACAGAAGAAGCACCGGCUAACUCCGUGCCAGCAGCCGCGGUAAUACGGAGGGUGCGAGCGUUAAUCGGAAUUACUGGGCGUAAAGCGCGCGUAGGUGGCUUGAUAAGCCGGUUGUGAAAGCCCCGGGCUCAACCUGGGAACGGCAUCCGGAACUGUCAAGCUAGAGUGCAGGAGAGGAAGGUAGAAUUCCCGGUGUAGCGGUGAAAUGCGUAGAGAUCGGGAGGAAUACCAGUGGCGAAGGCGGCCUUCUGGACUGACACUGACACUGAGGUGCGAAAGCGUGGGUAGCAAACAGGAUUAGAUACCCGUGUAGCC
rnacentral:rRNA from 1 species